rnacentral:tRNA from 1 species
ACGACCGCCGGCUGGGGCAACGCGGGCGCGGGCGCUUCGCAGGCGCUCGUUCCGCUGCUCGUCGCGGCGGCGAUCGUG